rnacentral:tRNA from 1 species
GGAAUAACUCAGUUGGUAGAGUAACUGAUUCGUAAUCAGUAAGUCGAGGGUUCGAGUCCCUUUUCC